rnacentral:rRNA from 1 species
GAUGAACGCUGGCGGCGUGCCUAAUACAUGCAAGUCGAGCGGUAAGGUUCUGCACUUAGUAUUUGACCAGAUCAAGUCCACGGUAAGCGAUUACCAGGGAAACUGACUGAAGCAAGGAAACUCCAAGGCUGGAGAAUCCGAGUCGAAUCCUGGGUGUAGAAUACACGAGCGGCGGUACGGCUGAGUAACACGUAGGAACGUACCCCAAGUAGAGGGA